ACCGGGAGAUAGCUGGUUCUCCCCGAAAGCUAUUUAGGUAGCGCCUCGUGAAUUCAUCUCCGGGGGUAGAGCACUGUUUCGGCAAGGGGGUCAUCCCGACUUACCAACCCGAUGCAAACUGCGAAUACCGGAGAAUGUUAUCACGGGAGACACACGGCGGGUGCUAACGUCCGUCGUGAAGAGGGAAACAACCCAGACCGCCAGCUAAGGUCCCAAAGUCAUGGUUAAGUGGGAAACGAUGUGGGAAGGCCCAGACAGCCAGGAUGUUGGCUUAGAAGCAGCCAUCAUUUAAAGAAAGCGUAAUAGCUCACUGGUCGAGUCGGCCUGCGCGGAAGAUGUAACGGGGCUAAACCAUGCACCGAAGCUGCGGCAGCGACACUAUGUGUUGUUGGGUAGGGGAGCGUUCUGUAAGCCUGUGAAGGUGGCCUGUGAGGGUUGCUGGAGGUAUCAGAAGUGCGAAUGCUGACAUAAGUAACGAUAAAGCGGGUGAAAAGCCCGCUCGCCGGAAGACCAAGGGUUCCUGUCCAACGUUAAUCGGGGCAGGGUGAGUCGACCCCUAAGGCGAGGCCGAAAGGCGUAGUCGAUGGGAAACAGGUUAAUAUUCCUGUACUUGGUGUUACUGCGAAGGGGGGACGGAGAAGGCUAUGUUGGCCGGGCGACGGUUGUCCCGGUUUAAGCGUGUAGGCUGGUUUUCCAGGCAAAUCCGGAAAACCAAGGCUGAGGCGUGAUGACGAGGCACUACGGUGCUGAAGCGACAAAUGCCCUGCUUCCAGGAAAAGCCUCUAAGCAUCAGGUAACAUCAAAUCGUACCCCAAACCGACACAGGUGGUCAGGUAGAGAAUACCAAGGCGCUUGAGAGAACUCGGGUGAAGGAACUAGGCAAAAUGGUGCCGUAACUUCGGGAGAAGGCACGCUGAUAUGUAGGUGAAGCGACUUGCUCGUGGAGCUGAAAUCAGUCGAAGAUACCAGCUGGCUGCAACUGUUUAUUAAAAACACAGCACUGUGCAAACACGAAAGUGGACGUAUACGGUGUGACGCCUGCCCGGUGCCGGAAGGUUAAUUGAUGGGGUUAGCGGUAACGCGAAGCUCUUGAUCGAAGCCCCGGUAAACGGCGGCCGUAACUAUAACGGUCCUAAGGUAGCGAAAUUCCUUGUCGGGUAAGUUCCGACCUGCACGAAUGGCGUAAUGAUGGCCAGGCUGUCUCCACCCGAGACUCAGUGAAAUUGAACUCGCUGUGAAGAUGCAGUGUACCCGCGGCAAGACGGAAAGACCCCGUGAACCUUUACUAUAGCUUGACACUGAACAUUGAGCCUUGAUGUGUAGGAUAGGUGGGAGGCUUUGAAGUGUGGACGCCAGUCUGCAUGGAGCCGACCUUGAAAUACCACCCUUUAAUGUUUGAUGUUCUAACGUUGGCCCGUAAUCCGGGUUGCGGACAGUGUCUGGUGGGUAGUUUGACUGGGGCGGUCUCCUCCUAAAGAGUAACGGAGGAGCACGAAGGUUGGCUAAUCCUGGUCGGACAUCAGGAGGUUAGUGCAAUGGCAUAAGCCAGCUUGACUGCGAGCGUGACGGCGCGAGCAGGUGCGAAAGCAGGUCAUAGUGAUCCGGUGGUUCUGAAUGGAAGGGCCAUCGCUCAACGGAUAAAAGGUACUCCGGGGAUAACAGGCUGAUACCGCCCAAGAGUUCAUAUCGACGGCGGUGUUUGGCACCUCGAUGUCGGCUCAUCACAUCCUGGGGCUGAAGUAGGUCCCAAGGGUAUGGCUGUUCGCCAUUUAAAGUGGUACGCGAGCUGGGUUUAGAACGUCGUGAGACAGUUCGGUCCCUAUCUGCCGUGGGCGCUGGAGAACUGAGGGGGGCUGCUCCUAGUACGAGAGGACCGGAGUGGACGCAUCACUGGUGUUCGGGUUGUCAUGCCAAUGGCACUGCCCGGUAGCUAAAUGCGGAAGAGAUAAGUGCUGAAAGCAUCUAAGCACGAAACUUGC
rnacentral:rRNA from 1 species